rnacentral:rRNA from 1 species
AUGUCCGCAGAAGACCGGAGUGACAUUAGUGAGGAAAAACUUAACACUAUGCGUCGUUGGCUGCUGAAACAGAGCAUCACCGAGCUGCUGGAGCAUCGUCGGUGCUGUAACGGAGCUCGCCGUGUCGCGCGGAGCGUCGUCAGUGCUGCAAGGGAGCUUGCCGGCCCGCAGAAUAUUGUCUGUGCUGUAACGGAGCAUCAUCGGGCCAUCAAAACUUCGAGGGUCAUUCCCGAACUUAAACUUCUUCAGAACAAGCCCGUGUCCAGGAAAGGGGCAACCACAAACGCCAUCCUUUACAAAAAUCUCACAAUUUCUAUUGGUUCUUUCCUACACAAGUUUAAUCUAGUAUUUGCAACAUGCUUCAGGUAG